AUCCUUUCGCAGUUCAUAUGCAUGAUGAUUGGGUGUUCAUGUCCAUGCGUGAGAUGUGUGUCUCCCUCAAACCUUGUUAUGAUGUUAGCACAUUUCCCAUUUGAGG
ensembl:snoRNA